rnacentral:rRNA from 1 species
GGACUACUGGGGUAUCUAAUCCUGUUUGCUCCCCACGCUUUCGCGCCUGAGCGUCAGCAGUCGGCCAGGGCACUGCCUUCGCCAUUGGUGUUCUUCCGGAUCUCUACGCAUUUCACCGCUCCACCCGGAGUUCCAUGCCCCUCUCCGACGCUCAAGCCGACCCGUUUUCCGGAACCUCUCUCAGUUAAGCCGAGAGCUUUCACCCGGAACGCGACCGGCCGCCUGCGCGCCCUUUACGCCCAGUAACUCCGGACAACGCUUGCCUCCUACGUAUUACCGCGGCGGCUGGCAC